CUCCCUCGUUGCUGAUCUCAGGUUCGAUAAUGCCAAUAUCGCGCCACCUCGCCUAAAACCAACUUCGAUGAAGCGACGGGCGGUGUGUG
rnacentral:rRNA from 1 species